AAAUGUUACACAUUUCAGCUGCAGCUUUAAUGCUCUUUGGGAUGGGUUUUCUACAAGUGACGUUUUCAAUAGCAAGUAUACAGGCUCUUCCAGGACAAAAUGUUACUAUGUGGUGUUCACACAAUAUUCGUGUUUCUGGAUAUCUGUAUUGGUACAAACAAACAGACGGGGAUGUACCCAUUACUAUUGUGUACAUGUUAUACACUGAAAGUCUUCAGAAGGUUGAGCCAAAUUAUUUUAACAGUUUCACAAAAGAUCACAUGGUCAUGGUCCUGGACCAGUUCAGCAAAAGCACCACCCUAACAAUUAAGAAAGUGAAAAUGUCUGAUUCUGGUUUCUACUUUUGUGGAGCUGGGGGUCAUGACAGGAAAUUUGGCAAUGGAACAAUACUUCAAGUGAAAGAGAAAAAUUACACAGGAACCUCAAAAAAGGGUAUGUCAUUUUACCAUUUUACAGUUUUUAAAAUUAAAACUGCAGGUGUUUAAAAUUUACUAUUGUUCUGGUUUAAUUUGUUGAUUCAGAUUACGUGGGAAAUUAAUAUAUAAAAUGUGUUCUUUGUGGCAUCACUUAAAAUGUAUUUGAAUUUUUAAAUUAUGUCCACUCUUUUACAGAUCAUGAGCAGUCAUCCGUGUCUACUGAGUACUGUUCUAGAGGCAUCUAUUUCAAACUGACCCUCCUAUUUGGUGGAAUAAUUUUUUUUUCAUGCAUUGUUCCUCUUAUUUUGGCGAU